rnacentral:rRNA from 1 species
UACGUAGGGUGCGAGCGUUGUCCGGAAUUAUUGGGCGUAAAGGGCUCGUAGGCGGUUUGUCGCGUCGGAAGUGAAAACACGGGGGCUUAACUCUGUGCUUGCUUUCGAUACGGGCAGACUAGAGGGAUGCAGGGGAGAACGGAAUUCCUGGUGUAGCGGUGAAAUGCGCAGAUAUCAGGAGGAACACCGGUGGCGAAGGCAGGUCUCUGGGCCACUACUGACGCUGAGAAGCGAAAGCAUGGGGAGCGAACAGG